ACGGAAGGCAGCAGUGAGGAAUAUUGGUCAAUGGGCGGAAGCCUGAACCAGCCAAGUCGCGUGAAGGAUGAAGGUAUUAUGUAUUGUAAACUUCUUUAGACGUAGAGAAAUAAGGGGAUCGUGAUCCCUGAUGCUAGUAUACGUAGAAUAAGGAUCGGCUAACUCCGUGCCAGCAGCCGCGGUAAUACGGAGGAUCCGAGCGUUAUCCGGAUUUAUUGGGUUUAAAGGGAGCGUAGGCGGCCUUUUAAGUCAGCGGUCAAAUGUCAGCGCCCAACGCUGGCCUGCCGUUGAUACUGAUGGGCUUGAAUACACACAAGGAAGGUGGAAUUCGUCGUGUAGCGGUGAAAUGCUUAGAUAUGACGAAGAACUCCGAUUGCGAAGGCAGCCUUCUGGAGUGCGAUUGACGCUGAGGCUCGAAAGCGCGGGUAUCAAACAGGAUUAGAUACCCUGGUA
rnacentral:rRNA from 1 species